UUAUUUAUCGUCUAAAGUAAGUUCCAAGCACAAAUAAGUUAGUAUGGAUUUUAUAAAAUAGAGAUAUUGAGUUAACGAUUUUAAGCUUUGAAAUAAAGAGAAACCCAUUUUUAAUUACAAUUUAUUUCUCCUCACUCAUGUCAUCUACUCUAGAUGCUAGAGCAUCACUCUCUCUUUUUUUUAUGACUUCUCAAUCAAGUGCCAAAGUGUAUUUUUUUCCUAUAGAUCAAUUAUUCUCUUCAAGAUUUCAGUUUAAUAACUCAAGUGGUUGAGAAUUGGGAGAAACCCCAAAACCAAAAUAAAACCCCAAACAAUAAUUUUCUCUCUCCUCUGAUUUUAUACCCCGUACUGUGCAUGUACCAUUUCUGAAUUUUCGAGUCGGAAUUUUCCCAAACUUAUUGAAUCAAAGUUGUAGAUCUCGAAAAGUUAUUGAACUUAGACCCAAAGAUCACUUGAUUUGGAGUUCGGAGCUAUGAGUUAUGGUCUUUGCAAAUUUGGUGUUGUUACCUCCAUUUCUCUCUCCUCUGUUUUAUUCCGACAAUCUGUUGCCCCAAUUAUCUACAACAUGCAAUCCAAUUUUGCUCUUUGUUGCUGAAUCAAAGUUGUAGAUCACUUCGAGCUAAUGAAUUUGGGCACAAAAAUUACUUGAUUUGGAGUUCAGAGCUAUGAGUUAUGGUCUUUUUGUAGAUCACUUCGAGCUAAUGAAUUGAGCACAAAAAUCGCUCAAUUUGGAGUUCGGAGCUAUGAAUUACGCCUUACACAAGUUCAGCACUACUGUUGUACUUUGUGUUGCGCUGCUAUCGUGGUUGGCUUGUUUGCCCAUGUUGUCAUUGCUAACUUGUUGCCUUGUUGCUGCCAUUGUUGGUAUUCCUUUCCAUAUGAAGGUCGUUGUUGGAGUAUGUAUAUGGAGAUAAAUUAUGAAGUUCGAGCUAUAGUGGUUAUCCAGAAUGUCGAGUUAUUGGGAAUUGUUUCAAGGGUUCAUUGUUAGUGAUUUUGCAGGGUUGAUGUCGAGGUCGUGGAAUAUGAUUAUUGAUCAAGAAGAAGAGUUUUAUGUUAUGAAAUGGUGGGCUGAGGUUAAAGUUGGAUGUUUUGUUUCAAAGUAUUCGUAAUCUGUUAUUUGAUUUUCAAGUUGUUAUAUUGUGGGCCCCUGACCCACAGAUCCAGGAUCGUUUUUAUAGGUUUAGUUUCCGCUGUAAAUAAAUGCAAAUUCGAGGUUUGUUAAGUGUUGAUUUUGUUUUGUGUAUCUUAAUUGUGAUUAGUUAGCAGCUCGGAAGUGCGGGCUGUUACAUAUUUAAUAACGAAUAUAAUUUUAUUUUUUAUUCCA